CGAGCUUAACACAUGCAAGUCGAACGGGAAACAUUUUAUUGAAGCUUCGGCAGAUUUAGCUUGUUUCUAGAGGCGGACGGGUGAGUAAUGCGUGGGUAACCUGCCUUAUACUGGGGGAUAACAGCCAGAAAUGACUGCUAAUACCGCAUAAGCGCACAGAACCGCAUGGUUCGGUGUGAAAAACUCCGGAGGUAUAAGAUGGACCCGCGUUGGAUUAGCUAGUUGGCAGGGCAGCGGCCAACCAAGGCGACGAUCCAUAGCCGGCCUGAGAGGGUGAACGGCCACAUUGGGACUGAGACACGGCCCAGACUCCUACGGGAGGCAGCAGUGGGGAAUAUUGCACAAUGGGGGAAACCCUGAUGCAGCGACGCCGCGUGAAAGAAGAAGUAUCUCGGUAUGUAAACUUCUAUCAGCAGGGAAGAUAAUGACGGUACCUGACUAAGAAGCCCCGGCUAACUACGUGCCAGCAGCCGCGGUAAUACGUAGGGGGCAAGCGUUAACCGGAUUUACUGGGUGUAGAGGGAGCGUAGACGGUGUGGCAAGUCUGAUGUGAAAGGCAUGGGCUCAACCUGUGGACUGCAUUGGAAACUGUCAUACUUGAGUGCCGGAGGGGUAAGCGGAAUUCCUAGUGUAGCGGUGAAAUGCGUAGAUAUUAGGAGGAACACCAGUGGCGAAGGCGGCUUACUGGACGGUAACUGACGUUGAGGCUCGAAAGCGUGGGGAGCAAACA
rnacentral:rRNA from 1 species